AUUGAACGCUGGCGGCAGGCCUAACACAUGCAAGUCGAGCGGAUGAAGGGAGCUUGCUCCUGGAUUCAGCGGCGGACGGGUGAGUAAUGCCUAGGAAUCUGCCUUGUAGUGGGGGAUAACGUCCGGAAACGGGCGCUAAUACCGCAUACGUCCUGAAGGAGAAAGUGGGGGAUCUUCGGACCUCACGCUAUCAGAUGAGCCUAGGUCGGAUUAGCUAGUUGGUGGGGUAAAGGCCUACCAAGGCGACGAUCCGUAACUGGUCUGAGAGGAUGAUCAGUCACACUGGAACUGAGACACGGUCCAGACUCCUACGGGAGGCAGCAGUGGGGAAUAUUGGACAAUGGGCGAAAGCCUGAUCCAGCCAUGCCGCGUGUGUGAAGAAGGUCUUCGGAUUGUAAAGCACUUUAAGUUGGGAGGAAGGGCAGUAAGUUAAUACCUUGCUGUUUUGACGUUACCAACAGAAUAAGCACCGGCUAACUUCGUG
rnacentral:rRNA from 1 species